UUAUUGGCUGUUCACUUCGAUUAGUGUUUGAUUGUGUACAAUUCUUAAAGUUUCGGCGUAAUUGUAAUCUAUGAUACCCUGCAGAUCAAUAUAUUUAUGCUGCUAUUGACAAAAGGAAGAAAUAAUUCACCUUAUAUCUAUAUUUACCCUGCGGCACUAACAUAUUCAUCCAAUAUUGUCAUCAAUAUAUGUCUCGUGGUAUGAGAAUACCACAUAAUGGCAUUUCCCACCAUAACUUGUAUAUGUACCCUAAAUGAAAUUUAUGGAAUAGCUGCCUAGGCAACAUUUAAAGGUGUUUGAAAGUCCCAACUUUUUGGAGGGAGGAAAUUGGUCAACAAGUGUGAGGAAAAUAGUCAAAUGCUAGCACCUUGGUAUUUAACUGAAGUUUGACCAUGCUAAAUUGAAGUUUGCAUAACACCAACUGCAAUCCCUUGCUUAUGCGUAAUAAGCCUGUCAUUCUAAUGUCCAUUUUCUGUUAUCUCUCUCCAAGUGAUGCCCAUCCUUCGACCAUCAGGUUCUCUCAUCAGAUUGGCAAAUCAUAUGUUGUGGAUCAGUAACUCAAGAUUAAGCAAGCUAUUUCGAGCUAUUUUAAUUUUUCUCUAUUUAACAUCACACUGAAAAUUUCAACUUCCCAAUUCUUUUACAACCAAUACUAUAUAGUUGCAAUAUUUUAAUAUUUCUUGUUUUUCAGGUGUGAUCGAAUUCUAUCAUUCGGGAAGGGGAUAAGGCUACUGAGUUACGGGAGAUCUGAACUUAAGUUUUCAGAUCAUCGACCUGUCUCUGCCACAUAUAUGGUAGAGGUUGAGGUAUUUAGCCCAAGGAAGUUGCAACGGGCCCUCACUUUUACUGAUGCUGAAAUUGAAAAGGAGGAAAUGGUUACAGAUAUGGGAAGAGAGAGUGGAAUGAGUCGAUUCAUUUCAGAGCAGGACGAUUCUUAUUGGAUGCGCUAAAAGUUGUUUCUUCGGGGACAGUUGAAGCGGCUGCAAGAUAGACGAUCCACGACUCGUGAAUUUUCAUGAGUAACGAUUCUGCAUAUAUUAUUUUGAUUUUUUAUUCUUCACCCUUGACGCUGUAUAUUGUGUUUAGUUGAUGCAUCUUUACUGUAUAUUAUUGUUGUUCAGACUUCUAAGUGAGUGAGCUCAUUUUUGUAGUCUUCCUUCUUAGUCUGGGCUUUUCCAGCAUGAAUUUGUUAAGCAGUGUAUAGCAAAUUGUUAAUGUAUGCAAUAAUGUUGCUCUCAGGUUUUCUGACAAAUAACAUUCUCUACAAACCGAAGCACGUGACAAAUCCUGAAAUCUUGUGGAGGCAAUAGAAUCCUAGAGGCUAGAGCACUAUGCCCACUAUAAAUUCUGCACAUGUUUUGUGCAUCGAGGUAAGUCUUCUCAAGGAAUUAACAGUAACCAUGUUUGGCUUGAAAGACAAAAAGGAAGAUUCAGAAAUGCGAAAAACAAAAAGAGAAGAAGAAAGGAAAGAAAAC